rnacentral:rRNA from 1 species
ACGAAGGGUGCAAGCGUUAAUCGGAAUUACUGGGCGUAAAGGGUGCGUAGGCGGUUCGUUAAGUCUGUCGUGAAAUCCCCGGGCUCAACCUGGGAACUGCAUUCAAAACUGACUGACUAGAGUAUGGUAGAGGGUGGUGGAAUUUCCUGUGUAGCGGUGAAAUGCGUAGAUAUAGGAAGGGACACCAGUGGCGAAGGCGACCACCUGGACUAAUACUGACACUGAGGUGCGAAAGCGUGGGGAGCAAACAGGA